AAAAUAUUUUCUUAAUUUGGGAAUUGAGGAAUUAAAAUGUUUUCAUCAUGUUUGUUGUGUAAUUCGGUUAUUAGUUAUAAUUGUUAUCAGAUUAAAGGCUGUGAUCGGUUGAGUUCUCUAUUUGGGAGUAGACACCUCUACAUUAAGUUCUCUGUUUGGGAGUAGACACCUCUACAUGUGGGGCACACGUGAUCACCUGGUGCAUGGAUGCGGCAUCUGAGGCAAUGCUACUAUAGUAAUUUAACAUGGGAAUUGAUAAUUACAACCAGAAUGAUUUUGAGUAUACAUUUUCAAUUUGGGAAUUGAAAUUCAUGUUGGGUAGGUGCUCUCCAAAUUCUAUGGCUGUGAUGUCCUUUCUUUUUUUCUUUUUCCCUUUCAUCUUCUAUAGUAAUUGUUGUAGGUAUAAAUAUUUACAACCCUGAUUGAUUUUGAGUACACCCAUUUUAAAUUUAUGGAUUUGAAAAACUACAAGAAUACGGCUGUGGGCAAAAUGGGGUGUUUGCUAGUGAUCUAUAAUGGAAUUGCUUCAAGGUUCAGGUAUAUUUGAUAUGCAUUUGGAGCUUGUAUAUAGUUGGAUGCUGGAUAUAUUAGUGAUUGUUUGCAUCUAGUUUGUAGUGGAAUAGUCAAUUGGAGGUGAAAGGCAGUGUUUGAUCCAUGCAGGUGCAGAUAUAUUUUCUUGCAUUGGAGAUUCUCUGAGGCUUUUAAACUGCUUACAUUUAUCGAUUUAGGGUAAGAGAGAAUGCAAUCCUUUCAAUUUGAUGAUCCCUCCUAUUCACCGUGCUACAAAAAUAUCUUCCAUUGGAUAGAUGAUCUUAACCGUCUGGUUGGUGAUCUGGAAAUAGACAGUAUAGUCAAUAGUUUGAAUUUUAUGAGAAAAACGAAAUCUAACAAUGCAUGGUGACUUCCUGAUAAGGGAGUUUUUUUUUUCCUGAGGGUGCGUGUAUGAUACACCUAACUCUUGCUGACGAUUGUGUUAAUCUGAUUCCAUGCUUGUUCAUGAGCAUUCGGGUGAAUCAUUGGCAUAUAUGCUUUGUAGAAGCUGUCAUGACUUUGUAAUUGUGUUUCUCUGUUCAGGCCCUUGUCGAAGACGGUGAGGUUCAAUGUCUUGAAAGUCAUUCCAGCAGGAUCCUCUGGCGGAGGUGGGAAAAAGGCCUUCUCUGCAAUCUAAGGCUAGUUCGUAGUCGUUUCCUGAUGCAGCUAGGCUUAUUAUUAUUUUUUUAAGUUUCUUAUAUAUAAAUAGUUUUGUUAAUUAAAACAUAUUCAGGAUUACCCGUGGCCCAUGCAUGUGUGGCUCUGAUUGAAUUGAGAUUUUGAAUGGGGUUACAUUGAUUUGGUUAUAUGGAUUCAAGCACAAUUCUAGUAUGGCCCUGUUUUGAUUUCCUACUUUUGGGUGAUCAGGCUCGCCUGAUCAGGUAGCUAACCAGAUGGAUGGUCUGAUCGUCCUAGACAUGCUACUUCCAUGAUUAUGUUAGGAAAUGAGGAUUAUUAUUUUUAAAACUUUUGAAAUUACAUAAUUUUAGAUUUCGUUUAUCA